rnacentral:tRNA from 1 species
UGGGGCGUCGUCUAAUGGCAGGACACCGGACUUUGGCUCCGGCGGUAGAGGUUCGAGUCCUCUCGCCCCAGCCA